UUUGAUAUUCUCUUUUUGAGGGUAGAGGUUAUGAAGCCGAAAGUGCUAGAAAAUAAAGAUCAAUCUGUUUUUAAGGCUUAGCUUCUGGAACACUGUAAAAUAUUUUGCACUUCCACUCCAACAUAAUACAAGCUCGGUUUCACUAUUUCCAUUUGUUUAGAAAGGCAAAUACCCUAGCAGGAACAAUCAGAGAAGAAACUCACAACCGAAUCCUGGAGAAUAUAAAAUUUUACCGAACAGCCAGAGACCCCACAAAUACAAUGCAGAAUGAUUUAUUUUCAAAAGGUACUUGUUUACACAAUUAUUGAACUGGAGCAAAGAGAAGGUAACAUAGCUAGUUGCAUCAUUCAAAUCUAGUAAGCUAAAGAGAGAAAAUAUAUCAGAAUAAUCUCAAAUAUACACUACGAGCAACAGCACUGGAACAAAGUUUGUAGGUUGUAACACAUACAAGUAAAAUAAUUUCAAUCAGCUAAAACAUCCCAACAUAAAAAUGAUAACACCAUGAUACAUAGUUACAUACAACAUUAUAGCAUCAUCAGUCUUGAUUCUAAUCUCUAAACGUCACCGGUAUGUUCUCCUCUAAACCAAUGAAACAAAAGCUCAGUAGAAAGCUCUACUCCCAUAGAAAACUCUGGAACCAGUGUUCUUUGAUCCCUGUAAAUUCUGAUCUGAACUAGAAUCACCAGAACUGGUUGUUCCAUUUCCAACAUCCAUUGGAAGCUUCAUUGACCGACAGCUUGCAGGAAUUGAAGUUGAUGGGGAUCCAUUAGUUAAC
rnacentral:lncRNA from 1 species